AGGAAGCAGGAAAUCCUUUUCCUCUCACGUUUACAUCCCAUUCAUUCUUCCUCCGGGCAAUUCAAGUCCAUUCACAGCCGCCACAGAUGCACGUGUGCACGCGCGCAGCUGCACCUUUAAAGAAACUCUCAAGUCCUGGCGGCCAGAAAACCAGCUUUCAGGCGGGGCGGUGGGGCUCCCCCUCCCCUUGCUUCGUCUCUGCAGAUCUUUGUGCUCUAGGGAGGGAUGGCCGCACAUUCUGACGAGGACGAGGGUGGUGCAUAACGCGGAGGUCAAUUUUGCACAGUCCAGGCAAAAGAGACCCCCCCCCCCCACCAACAUCCCUUCCUGUUCAGUUUCCCUCUCUGGCCCAGCGCGAAGGGCGAGGGGCGACAGAAGCCCGAGGGACAGAAAACCGAGGCUCCUCAGUGGCCGAGUUGGGAGAGAGUGUGAGUCCAGGAGAGCCCGGGGGCAGCAGGGAGAGGGUGCAGAAGCUCGAGCGCACCGAGCCAGAGGCCCCCUCUUCUCCCGCCACGCGGGGCUGGAGGUGCAGGCGCCGGUUCCGCGGCGUGGCCCGGCUAUGUGUCGCUCCUCCGCGCGCCGCCCGCCGCAGCCCGUGCCCUCGGGCCGCCGCCGCCGCCGCUGCCCCCCGUCGAGCCCGCGGCCGCACCCUCGGGCCGAUACUUGAGCCAGCAGAUGACCCAGGUGACAACGACCGAGAAGAGUGCCAGGAUGCUGGCCACCGACAGGCAGAUGGGCCCCACGGGCGAGGGCGAGGGCGACCCGGUGGCCGGUGCCUCGCCAGGGGGCGCCCCGCCUCCGGGGGUUCCCCCGCCGCCGUAGUGGUUGACGAAGAUGAGGCCGGUGAAGAGCAGCACCACCAUGGAGAGGAAGGAGAAGACCACGCACACGCAGCCAGCGUGCAAUACAGUUGACCCUUGGACAACAUGGAUUGGAACCGUGCAGGUCUACUAACUAAUACACAGAUUCUCUUCCACCUAUGCCACCCUUGAGACAGCAAGACCAACCCCUCCUCUUCCUCCUCCUUUUCAGUCCACUCAAUGUGAAGACAAGGAAAAUGAAGAACUUUAUGAUGAUCCAUGCUAUUAGUCUGUUCUCACACCGCUAAUAAAGACAUACCCGAGACUGGGUAAUUUAUAAAAGAAAGAGGUUUAAUGGACUCACAGUUCUACAUGGCUGCGGAAGCCCCACAAUCAUGAUGGAAAGCAAAGGAGGAGCAAAGUCACGUCUCACAUGGUAGCAGGCAAGAGAGCAUGUGUGGGGGAACUUCCCUUUAUAAAACCAACAGAUCUCGUGAGACCUAUUCACUAUCACAAGAACAGCAUGGGAAAACCCACCCUCAUGAUUCGAUUACCUUCCACCAAUUCCCUCCCACUAUACGUGGAGAUUAUUACAAUUCAAGAAUAAGGAGUUGUAAUCGUUGCCUCCAGUAGUGGGAGAAGAGAAAGAGCCGGGUCACUUGGAUGUGUGGACAGUUGCUGAGAAGAGCAGAAGAAAAGAAAAAAGACAGGCAACAUACACAAAAUGAACCGCUUUUUUGCUUGAAUCAAAUCCUAUUGAUUAAUCCCUUUACAUUGUUUACUAAAAAUGCAAUACAACUUUGUCAGGAAAUAUUUGUUUGAGUUGUUGGCAGACUGACAGAAUUAAUGCACUGUUUGGAUAAUUCCACCAUCGAUGUCCCUUAUUCAUGUCACUGUAUUUCAAAGUUGGCCAGCUGCCACUGCUGCUGUUUUGAAAUAACUUGGAGCUGAAACUCAAGACAAUGGCCACACUGUCCUUUUAUUCUGUUGCACGAAAUAAUUUUCCAAAAUAAUCAUGUCACUAAGUCUCUCUCUAGAUCUAAUGGCCUAUAAUUUGAAACAAGGGAACUGCUGAUAUGGUGAGAAAUGGUUUUGUCAUUUAAUUUGUCAAGCUUCCAACUACUCAUUUAUUCUCUAAGCAAGGUUGCAGCCAAAUCUAUAUUUCAAAAUUCACUUAUAAUUGAUUGAAAAUAUUGUUUCUUAAGAGCUGCUUGACUAAAGAAGGUGUCCUAGAAGGCCUCGUCCUCUGUCUUCGUCUGUUCAGGCUGCUAUAACAAAAUACCAUAGACUGGUGGUUUAUAAGCAACAGAAAUCUAUUUCUUGCAGCACUGCAGGCUGGAAGUCCAAGGUCAAGGCGCUGGCUGAUUCAGUGUUUGGUAAGAAUCCACCUCCUGGUUCAUAGUCAGUGCCUUCUCACUGUGUCCUCACUAGGUGGAAGAAUAAUACUCUGAUCUCUUCAGUUCCAUCAAAGGGCACUAAUCCCAUUUGUGAAAGUUCCACCCUCAUGGCCUAAUCACCUUCCAGAAACUCCAUCUCCUAAUGCCACCACACUGAGAAUUAAGUUUUAGCAUAUGAAUUUUGUGGGGACACAACAUUUAGUCCAUAGCAUCCUCCCAUUUUUUAAUAUGUAAAAAUUCAAACAUGCACAAAGUUUGAAAAAAAUAACACAAUGAAUACCUGCACAGCCUCACCUAGACUCAACAAUGAACAGCAUUUUCACAUGUGUAUUAGUCAGCUUGAGCUGCUAGAACAAAGUGCCAGAAACUUGAUGGCUUAUACAACAGAAAUUUACUUUCUGACAGUUCUGGAGGCUGAAAGUCUGAGAUCAAGGUGUUGGCAGGGUUGGUUCUGAAGCUUCUCUCCUUGGCUUGUAGCUGGCCGUCCUCCCCCUCUGUCUUCACAGUAUCCUGUCUCUGCGUGGCUGUCUGUGUUUUCUCUUCUCUUCUUAUAAGACAUCAGUCAUAUUGGAGUAGGGCCCACCCUAACCACCUCAUUUUAAUUUAAUCACCUCUUUAAAGAGCCACUCCAAAUAUAGUCACAUUCUGAGGUACUGGGGGUUAGUAUUUUAACAUACAAAUUUAGGGGGUGGACACAAUUCAACCCAUAACAUUAUAUUUGCUUUAUCUCUUUCUUUCUAUAAUAUAUAGGCAUAUUGAUUUGAUAAUCCAUUAGAAGACAUAUUAUAGACAUUAUGACAUCUCACUCCUAAACAUGUCACUUUGCAUCAUUUAAGAAUAAGGAUGAUCUCCUACAUAACCUUAAUGCCAUUAUCACAUCGAAGAAAAUUUAAAUUUGUAUUAAUCCAUAUUCAGUUGUCCAAAUGUUUUUUUAUGGCAGUUUUUAUUUUCCUGCAUAAUUACCCAAUAAAGUUCAUACAUUGGCUUUGGGUGUUAUUUCUUUUUAGUCAUUUUAAAUUUAGAAGAGUCUCCCCAUCCCUAUAGCUCAUCUUUUUUUUUCUAUGACAUUGACUUUUUGAAAACCCCAGAUGAGGUAUCUAUAGAAUGUUGCACAUUUUGAAUUCGCCUAAUUAUUUCUUUAUGAUAACAUGUAACAUUUUCUUCUCUACACUGUGUUUAUAUAAACCAGAAGUUAGAUGUGGUUAGACUGCAAAACUGACAGUAUUUUUCCUAUUAAGUGGUGCAGUCUGUUUCUCCCCUAGACUCUGGGCCUGGCCAUAUGGCUUGGUUUGGCCAAUGGGAUAGUAGCAAAUGUGGCACAGCAGAGGCUUGCUACAUGCUUGUGUGCUGGGUUUGCUCAUCUUUGCUGCUCUUGGGAGUCCUGUGGCUCUCAAGUCUGCUGCUUAAUGAGAAACAUGUGGCCAAGUCAUCCCCAUCUCCUCAAAUGACAUCAGGAAUGAAGCCAUUCUCAACCAGAUGGCUCCAACCAGAGAAUCAUUUAUCUGACCCACAGAACAGUAUAAAAGAAUACAUUGUUGCUGUUCUAAGCCACCAAGUUCCCAGAUGAUCAGUUUUGCAACAAGAGCAAUUGAUGCACAUCUAGAGGCUUGAUUAAAUGUUUCAGCAGGAAUACUUCAUAGAUGAUCUGUGUGCUUCUAGCACAUCAGAAGGCUCAUAAUGUUAAAAGGAGGUUUACUUUUGAACCUGGGUAAAUGUGGAUUAAGGGAAACAAACAUCAACAUAGUCAUUCCUCAAGUUAGCAUCUCUCCUGGGUUUUAGUACUAUCUGGUCAUCUUUUAGCCAUCAGGGCUUGUAGGGCACUAAUAGGGACAAGUAGCGAUGUUCCUCCCUGAUGUUCAGAAUGACCUAUGCCCAAAGAUAGCCGCAGCAUUUGUCAAGAGGAGGACAUUAUUUCACCAGGUUAUAGCCACAUAUAAUAUUAUUCCAAAGUCAUGCUGAUUAAUAUAUUUCUAAGGACUUUGUUCAACCCAGUUUUGGGGGUGUGCCUAUUCCUUUUUUAUUUGACACAAUCAAGCUGAUACCUUAAGAUGACCAAAUCAAAAAAAAAAAAAGAUGACCGAAUCAAUAACUAUUGCAUUCUUGAGCAUUUAAAAUAAGUAGUUAGCCAUUUAAUACAAGAAUAAAACAAGAGUUUUCUCUCAGUACCAGCAGAAAGGUGAAGAAAUUACGAAAUUGUGGCAUUGUUUUGAUCAGAAGAUGAAAUCAAAUUUUAAAAGCUAAAGAAAUGCAAGAGAAGAAGAAAAAAAGCAUUUGUGUUGAUCAUCUACAAUGCCCAGGCCCUCGUGGGAAAUCUUCCCAUUUGCUAUGGCAGGAAGGCAACACUACUCAAAUAAUCCAACAUUUGAGGUUCUUAUCAAACUCCAACUAUUUAUUUGUCAUUGAACAGAACCCACUCUGGAAUAAAAAAAAAAUGGAAACAAAUAGCUGAACCCAAAUCUAUUUAUUUAAAACAAGCAUAUGUAAUAACAAUAAAAAGAGACUAGAAGGAAACAUAAUUAUUCUUUCAGGUGAUCUUUUUUGUUUGUCCUCAACUUAUCUACAGGUAAUUUCAUGUGAUUUUUGUGUUCUCUUUGCUCUUUGUUGUGUUUUUUUUAGUUUUUAAAAUACUGAGUAUAUGCUACUUUUAUAAUUAGGAACAAAAUUGUAAAUGAAGUUAAUAAGACAUUUAGAAGUUGAAAAAAGAAAGUAUGGUAUCCUUAUAAACUUCUUCUCUGUAAUAUUUUAAAAUAAGAUUGAAUUUUAUAUUGUAUUAUAUAAUUUCUUUAAAAUGUGCAAAAGCAGAGAAUAUCACCAACCCUCAUGAAUUCAUCAUAGGGCUUCAGCAAUUGUCACCAAUUUGCCACACUAAUCUCCCCUAGGCUUUCUCUCUCUUUCUUUUUUUUUAGUUCUUAAAGCAAACUCCAGACAUCACAUUAUUUUAGCCCUAAAGCACACAUUUUGUUAUGGUUUAAAUGUUUUGAAAACUGAAUCCCCAAUGAAACAGUGUUGGGAGGUAGGGCCUAAUAAGAGGUGUAAUCACCUAAUGGUCAUGAGGGAUUCGUGCCAUUACUGGGAAAGAAAGUUCCUUAUAAAAGGAUGAGUGCAACCUGCUUUUGCCUUUCUCUUUCACCUUCUCUUUGCCCUUGUGCAACGGGAUGACGAAGAAAGAAGGCCCUCACUGGAUGUUGCUCCCUUCAUCUUGAGUUCUCUAGUCUCUGGAACCAUGAAUCAAUAAAUUUCUGU
rnacentral:lncRNA from 1 species